GGGUUAAUGAAAAACUUGAGGAAUGUUUAUUCUGAGGGGAUGGUAUGCCCCUUAUAAAGCAAAAUUACAUCAUAUGCUUUGUCAGAGAUAACAUGAAAUAAUUGGUUAGGUGUUAAGUGGUUCAUUUAUUGCUCUUCCUAGCGGGUGUGAUGUCACUGGUAUCUUGGAGGUGUCCCCCAGAUUCCAGCACCAUCUUGUUAGUGAGGGUGUUAGUCGAUGUCGAAGGGAAACUCCCUAGAGGCCAUUUUAGGUAAAUCACAUAUAAAGUUGAAUAAUACGGAUUGUAGGUAUGCUGAGUAAAUAGGCAUUUUACUAACAUAAAUUGAAUUAAUGUUUGUCCACAACAAGGAGCUUACACCUUUUAUAUGAACAAUUUAAAUCAGUCUAAUACAUAAAAAGACAAAAAGGUACAUCACCAUGAAGCACAGUCCAUUCAAUUUUUAGAACGAACCAGGUACUUACAACAGGUGUAGUGUAUUGGGGAUUUUUUUUUGCCCAAGUUGUGUCAAUGAUCUUUCAGUUUUUUUAAACCUUACCUUUGAAUUUCUUGUCCAAACACCACAUUAAGAAGUUGCCUGCAUUCUUGCAUAAUAAAUCUACAUCGAUGGUUGUAAGAUAUGACAGAUUGACAUCUGUAAUGCCUCUAUUUUGUACUUUAACUGUUACUGUGAACAUUUACACAAAGUUUGCCAAUCUGUCCUUGUAAAUAUGGAAUUUGUCUUGUCUUUGCAAGUUGGCUAGGCAUUCCUGCUCUGUGAGUAUAAAAAGAUCACCAUGUCGUCAAGGCAAUUACAAAACUGCGUAUUCUAAUAUCAAAAGCUUUACUUAAAUUAACAUCAUUCAGAAUAUACAGUAAGACAUUAGAAUAAUCAACAAAAACAAUGUUUAAGGAACAUUCUUUUGUAAAUAUUUAUAAAGUAUUAUAUAAACUAUAAAAUUACAAGAAACAACGAGAUACAUUUAACACUAGUAGCAUAGAUGCACAAUAUGUUAACAUGCAGAUGGAAGGAAAAAAAUCUAGCUGUGUUAUUAUGAACUAUAAAGAUUGUGUGUGGGUUUAUCAGAAGUAGAAUUUUAAAAAUGUAACCUAUUAAAUACAAUAGUUGCUUUACAGUCCACACAAAAUAGAAUUAUUUUCAAUAUAAAACAUGUAAUAAAAAGGAUGUUUAUGUGCUUCAGAUAACAAUGAAGCAUUUUGAUACAUAUCCUAUUAUGGAUCUAUUUUAUUCCCACAAAUAUAAAUAUACAGUUACACAAGGUUUACGUAACAAUGUUUAAAAUGAAGGCAUCGGGGGCGGAGCGUUCCUGCCGAUCAGAACAGACAUGUUUAGUCUGAGCUCCUGUAACCGUUCCAGUAAACUGGGUUUAGCUGCAGGCCACACGCCUAAACCGACCCGGACUGGUACUUACUCUGCUAAGUUGACAACUGUGCACACAGGGAUACCUCCUACAACCCUGUGCAGCAUUGAAAUUACCCGCCCGAGGCUUGAGGCCUACCUGAGCUUGAGUUGGGGUGAGAUGGCGGCUCCCCCAGUUCUCUGACCGGUGCUUUGCUGUCCCCCCCCUCUGGACCGGCGGUGGUUAUCCCGGUCCCCACUGUUGAACAUCGCUACCCCCAGUCGCCUUCCAGCACUCCCCUUGAUGCAGAUUCUGGACAAGCACAUCAAGAUGGCGAACAUGAGGCUGUCACGUGCACAAACAACUGCCAUGCACACACCGAGCGCCCAUGAGUUAACACUGCAACAACUGGCUUGGACUUUCCACAAAUUCUGGGCCACGCUAUCAGACCACUUUGAGGUGCCAAAUGCUUUGAUUGGGGGAGGAGGCCAGCCACCAAGCUGGGGCAUCGGUUAAGUCAAACUUUCCAUCCCACAUAGAUUUAUGCUUACAGUGCACAGCAUGCCACCUUUAUUUAAUUUGCUUUUGUUCUGUUUUCUUUUCCUGUUGUCAUGCUGUGUCCCUGCUUAUCUUCUACCAUGUAUGCUAGACACUAGAGAAACAGCACCCGCUACUACACAGACUACACGCAGACAUCUGGGUCACUGCAUAACAUAAAAAAGGAAAAAGGAAGACCUGGGGAAAAAGGGGGAAAGAGGGGGAAAAAGGCACCCUUCCCCCUGUCCCACAAGGUCAGCCUACUAGGAAAACCCUACCUAGAAGUAAUGCUAAAACUUAACCUUUAAUAAGAAAGUGGUAAAAGUGUCAAAUACGAAAUAAACAAAAAAUUACUAAAUAAAAAAAUAGAUAUCACCCAGGAUGUCAGGUAUAAAGUGUAUAAUAUGUCCACUAGGAUCGCCUAAUGAUAAUAAUAAACUUGCUGAAACAGCAGUGUAUAACACCCUUACCUAGACAUCUAUGUUAGGGGGCUAGAAUCAGAGAUGGGGUAAAGAUUAGGAAAAAUAUAUAUAACGUAGGGAAAAACUCAUAUGUAAUCCCCUCCAAAUUCAAGAAAGGAAAAAAACAAUCCAUAAAUCUCUGCCACAAAAUAAAAAGAGCUCCUAAUACAUAGUAGCAUAGAGUAUCAAUAGCUGGAUGCACUAAUGGAUACAGUAAGCUAAUCUAAAGUAGAUACAAUGUGAUUACCAGUAUAUAAGAUGAGUCACUAAUAGAUAUAUAGUGGCAAAAAUUACAUAUUUCCCUUUCAUAGGAACAUCAAAACAACAUCGGAUGCCCCAAAUGAAAAAAUGCUAACAAGUAAAUGCUGGAGCUCCUAAUGUAUUAUAUACUGGCAAGAUCUAUAUCUAUAUGUAUAGACAAGAAAAAGUCAUAAGUGAGUGCGUUAUCAAAGGAGGGCAACAGGGUUGCUACAGAGUAUUAUCACCACCCGCAAACAUCAAAAGACCCCCAAAGUCAAACUACUGGCUUAAUAGCUACUAAAGGAAAAGUUUAUAAAUGCUCCCUCUCUACAACUGCCUAAUGCGCGUUUCGGGGCUAUUAAUUGUGCCUUCAUCAGAGGCAAAACAGUGGUCCACCACGGACCGGUUCAUUUAUACAUAAACUGAACCAACGAAAUUAAGGGGGCGUGUUGAAUCCUGUUCGUGCCAAAACCAGGUCACCGCAUAACAUAGACAUAAACCCAGGGCCGGUGCAAGGAUUUUUGCCGCCCUAGGCAAAAAAAAAAUUUGCCGCCCCCCCCCCAUAUGUCCUGGCCACCAUGUGACAUCACAAUGCCCCGCCCAUAUGCUCUGCCAUAUGGGCCAACGCCAGUCUUCACAAAGUGUCUUUUAUCUUUAAAGACAGUGUGUUUACAUUAAAAAGCCUACAGGCACAGGCUAUAGACACCAGAACCACUACAUUAUGCUGUAGUGCUUCUAGUAUCCAUUUAAUGUGAGGUAAAUUAGAGAUUAGUGCCACUAAUAAUAUAUUGGAUUGCCUACUUACCACCAGGUGAGAACAAGAGGCUGAUGAUGGGCUCUGUCUGGCUCCACAGGUCUGGUGUAGAAGAGGCUCUCAGGAGACUGUUUUUAACAGUGCUCACAACAAUUAACGAACAGGAAGCAGCUCCAUUUUUUAGGGCCCCUUACACAGCUCAAGGUCUGGGCCCCCAGGGCUUGACCGUGAGUAUGCCUACAAUGCCCACCCAUGAGUUCUCUCACAGGAAGUGGAGUGUAUGUUUGUAGGGGAUGUUUUAUGUGUUAUUGUAGAGGAUGCAAUGUGUGUGUGUUCUUAUAGAAUGUAGUGUAUAGGGAUACCAAUUUGUGUAAGGGAUGUAGUGUGUUUAUAGGGGAUGCAGUGUGUGUUUGCGUGUAAGGAAUGCAUUGUAUGUUUCUGGGUGUGUGUGUGUGUGUGUGUAAGGGUUGCAAGGUGUGUUUCUGUGUAUUUAAUUGAAUGCAGUGUGUGUCUGUAAGGGGUGCAUUGAUUGUGUAAGAGAUGCAUUUUGUUUCUGUGUGUAAGAGAAUGAGUGUUUGUGUGAACGUAAGGGAUGCAUUGUGUGUUUCGGGUGUGUCUGUGUGUGAGUAGGAAUGCAUUGUAUGUUUCUGUGUGUGUGUGUGGGGGGGAUGCAUUGUGUAUGUGUGUAGUGUGAAAGAGAGGGUUUGUGGGGUAGGAUAGAGACUGAGAGGGGAGCAGCUCUUAAUUUUUUUUUUUUUUUUCCUGGUGCUCUCCCCCCUGUCAAUUAUUGAUUUCCCCUUCCCUCCUGUCCCUCCGUGUUCUCC
rnacentral:lncRNA from 1 species